rnacentral:rRNA from 1 species
CGGAACUAGAGACCGGCGCACGGGUGCGUAACGCGUAUGCAAUCUACCUUUCACAGAGGGAUAGCCCAGAGAAAUUUGGAUUAAUACCUCAUAGUAUUAUAGAGUGGCAUCACUUUAUAAUUAAAGUCACAACGGUGAAAGAUGAGCAUGCGUCCCAUUAGCUAGAUGGUAAGGUAACGGCUUACCAUGGCAACGAUGGGUAGGGGUCCUGAGAGGGAGAUCCCCCACACUGGUACUGAGACACGGACCAGACUCCUACGGGAGGCAGCAGUGAAGAAAUUUUUGAAAGGGGGCGCAAGCCUGAACCAGCCAUGCCGCGUGCAGGAUGACGGUCCUAUGGAUUGUAAACUGUUUUUUUUUUUUAAAAAAACAAAAUAACGUGUAAUGUCUUGACGGUAUCGUAAGAAUAAGGAUCGGCUAACUCCGUGCCAGCAGCCGCGGUAAUACGGAGGAUCCAAGCGUUAUCCGGAAUCAUUGGGUUUAAAGGGUCCGUAGGCGGUUUAGUAAGUCAGUGGUGAAAGCCCAUCGCUCAACGGUGGAACGGCCAUUGAUACUGCUAGACUUGAAUUACUAGGAAGUAACUAGAAUAUGUAGUGUAGCGGUGAAAUGCUUAGAGAUUACAUG